ACGGCGUUAGUUAAGGGGUAUAACAGUUGCCUUCCACGUGGGACAGCAACAAUGGGGGGUUCGAGUCCCUCACGCCGUA
rnacentral:tRNA from 1 species